rnacentral:rRNA from 1 species
UACGUAGGUGGCAAACGUUGUCCGGAUUUAUUGGGUUUAAAGGGUGCGUAGGCGGCCCUGUAAGUCAGUGGUGAAAUACUCUAGCUUAACUAGAGGGGUGCCAAUGAUACUGCAGGGCUUGAGUACAGAUGAGGUAGGCGGAAUUGACGGUGUAGCGGUGAAAUGCAUAGAUAUCGUCAAGAACACCUAUAGCGAAGGCAGCUUACUGGGCUGUAACUGACGCUGAGGCACGAAAGUGUGGGGAUCAAACAGG